ACAGAGGGCGCAAGCGUUGUUCGGAUUCACUGGGCAUAAAGAGCACGUAGGCGGCUACGUAAGUCGGAUGUGAAAUCCCGCGGCUCAACCGCGGAAUGGCAUCCGAUACUGCGUGGCUCGAGGUCGGAAGGGGUAAGCGGAACUCCAGGUGGAACGGUGAAAUGUGUAGAUAUCUGGAGGAACACCGGUGGCGAAGGCGGCUUACUGGUCCGAAUCUGACGCUGAGGUGCGAAAGCUAGGGGAGCGAACGGGAUUAGAUACCCCGGUAGUCCUAGCCGUAAACGAUGGGCACUAGGCAAUGGGUCAUCCCUAUGGGGCUCAUUGCCGUAGCAAAUGUGUUAAGUGCCCCGCCUGGGGAGUACGCUCGCAAGGGUA
rnacentral:rRNA from 1 species